AAGAGAUAUAACAGUCAUAUCGUGCCAGAGGACGGAGAAAUCCUCUUUGAAGAGCCAGGAUUGUACGUUGUGAAAUUCGACAACCAUGGGAGCACCUUUCAGAAGACACGCAAACUGAGCUACUGGAUGGAGGUCAUUGAACCACGCCUCGAGGUCACUGAUCACAUGCUCGGAGAAUCCUUGGACGAGAUCACAAGAGACAGUGGUUACCUCGAUGACAGAGGUCCGACAUCGAGAAACCGCUCGAACUCGCUGGAACGCUCGUCGACCUUACCUCGACCUCAGAGUCAAAUUCAAGGGCCGAUGAAAGGAUUGUCUCGGAAUAUGUCCUUCACUUAAGUCCUAGUCGGCACAAUCCCACCCCGACUCCCCCCCCCCCC